CCCAGACAGCCAGGAUGUUGGCUUAGAAGCAGCCAUCAUUUAAAGAAAGCGUAAUAGCUCACUGGUCGAGUCGGCCUGCGCGGAAGAUGUAACGGGGCUAAACCAUGCACCGAAGCUGCGGCAGCGACGCUGAUGCGUUGUUGGGUAGGGGAGCGUUCUGUAAGCCUGUGAAGGUGGCCUGUGAGGGUUGCUGGAGGUAUCAGAAGUGCGAAUGCUGACAUAAGUAACGAUAAAGCGGGUGAAAAGCCCGCUCGCCGGAAGACCAAGGGUUCCUGUCCAACGUUAAUCGGGGCAGGGUGAGUCGACCCCUAAGGCGAGGCCGAAAGGCGUAGUCGAUGGGAAACGGGUUAAUAUUCCCGUACUUGGUGUUACUGCGAAGGGGGGACGGAGAAGGCUAUGUUGGCCGGGCGACGGUUGUCCCGGUUUAAGCGUGUAGGUGUGUGUUCCAGGUAAAUCCGGUUCACUUUAACACUGAGGCGUGAUGACGAGGCACUACGGUGCUGAAGCAACAAAUGCCCUGCUUCCAGGAAAAGCCUCUAAGCAUCAGGUAACAUCAAAUCGUACCCCAAACCGACACAGGUGGUCAGGUAGAGAAUACCAAGGCGCUUGAGAGAACUCGGGUGAAGGAACUAGG
rnacentral:rRNA from 1 species